rnacentral:rRNA from 1 species
CUUAUGCAUGCAGUCGAACGAGAACGGCGGCUUCGGUCGCUAAGUAAAGUGGCAGACGGCUGAGUAACACGUAAGUAACCAACCCCGGAGCGGGGAAUAAUCAUGAGAAAUCGUGCCUAAUACCCCGUAAGUCCCAACAGGCGUUGCCGUUGGGGGAAAGGCUUCGGUCGCUCCGGGACGGGCUUGCGGCCUAUCAGGUAGUUGGUAGGGUAAUGGCCUACCAAGCCGGAGACGGGUACCCGGUGUGAGAGCACGAACGGGCAGAGGGGGACUGAGACACGGCCCCCACUCCUACGGGAGGCAGCAGCAGGGAAUCUUGCGCAAUGGGCGAAAGCCUGACGCAGCGACACCGCGUGGAGGAAGAAGGCUUUCGGGUCGUAAACUCCUUUUCUCGGGGAAGAGAACGGACGGUACCCGAGGAAUAAGCAUCGGCUAACUACGUGCCAGCAGCCGCGGUAAUACGUAGGAUGCGAGCGUUGUCCGGAUUUACUGGGCGUAAAGGGCGAGUAGGCGGCCCGCUAAGUCUCAUGUGAAAUCUCCCGGCUCAACUGGGAGGGGUCAUGAGAAACUGGCAGGCUUGAGGUCAGCAGAGGAAAGCGGAAUUCCCGGAGUAGCGGUGAUAUGCGUAGAUACCGGGAGGAACACCAGAGGCGAAGGCGGCUUUCUGGGCUGCACCUGACGCUGAGGCGCGAAAGCGUGGGGAGCGAACCGGAUUAGAUACCCGGGUAGUCCACGCCCUAAAUGGUGGAUACUAGACAUGGGGGGUAUCGACCCCCUCUGUGUCGUANCUAACGCGUUAAGUAUCCCGCCUGGGGAGUACGGCCGCAAGGCUAAAACUCAAAGGAAUUGACGGGGGCCCGCACAAGCAGCGGANCGUGUUGUUCAAUUCGAUGCCAAGCGAAGAACCUUACCAGGGCUUGACAUGUUUCCGA